rnacentral:rRNA from 1 species
UAGGGUGGUUAUAGCAUUGGGGCUCACCUCUUCCCAUCCCGAACAGAGAAGUUAAGCCCAAUUGCGCCGAUGGUACUGCAUUUAUGUGGGAGAGUAGGUCGCUGCCUUUC